rnacentral:lncRNA from 1 species
AUCCCCUGCCAGUAUUGGCAGCACCGCCACCAGCACCGCCGGCCUCAGGACCAAGCCCACCACCAGCGGGCGUUGACGGAGGCGGGUGUGCGGCUCUGGCGCAGCUGAGCCGUCGACCGCCGGAGCCAAUCCGGCAGUCCGGCAUUUCAGCUGCCGCACACUCGCCCGUCACAGGAUCAGAGGCCUCCCGAGACAGGUGCAGCUGAGAAGGUGAAAGACACCACACCGCUCCUCGGGUGGCUCUCUGCCAGCAUUGGCAGCACCGCCACCAGCACCGCCGGCCUCAGGACCAAGCCCACCACCAGCGGGCGCUGACGGAGGCGGGUGUGCGGCUCUGGCGCAGCUGAGCCGUCGACCGCCGGAGCCAAUCCGGCAGUCCGGCAUUUCAGCUGCCGCACACUCGCCCGUCACAGCAUCAGAGGCCUCCCGAGACAGCUCCCCGCGCGGCCAGCUGUCGCCAUGACGGUGACCAGAGCCCGGGGACAGACGCUCGGUGGGGUGUCCGUCUCUCUGAAGGAGCCAGUGUUCAGCCAUGGGUGGACAGGUGU